UACGUAGGGUGCGAGCGUUGUCCGGAAUUACUGGGCGUAAAGAGCUCGUAGGUGGUUUGUCGCGUCGUCUGUGAAAUUCCGGGGCUUAACUCCGGGCGUGCAGGCGAUACGGGCAUAACUUGAGUACUGUAGGGGAGACUGGAAUUCCUGGUGUAGCGGUGGAAUGCGCAGAUAUCAGGAGGAACACCGAUGGCGAAGGCAGGUCUCUGGGCAGUAACUGACGCUGAGGAGCGAAAGCAUGGGUAGCGAACAGGAUUAGAUACCCCCGUA
rnacentral:rRNA from 1 species